GACGAACCGUGCAAACGUUGUUCGGAAUCACUGGGCUUAAAGGGCGCGUAGGCGGGUGAGCAAGUCCGGGGUGAAAUCUUUCGGCUUAACCGGAAAAGUACCUUGGAUACUGCUCGUCUGGAGGAAGGUAGGGGCAGGUGGAACUUCUGGUGGAGCGGUGAAAUGCGUUGAUAUCAGAAGGAACGCCGGUGGCGAAAGCGACCUGCUGGACCUUUUCUGACGCUGAGGCGCGAAAGCUAGGGGAGCAAACGGG
rnacentral:rRNA from 1 species